UUUGAGUAUGAGCAUAUUGGGCCGGACCCGAAAGAAGGUGAACUAUGCCUGUAUAGGGUAAAGCCAGAGGAAACUCUGGUGGAGGCUCGCAGCGGUUCUGACGUGCAAAUCGAUCGUCAAAUAUGGGCAUGGGGGCGAAAGACUAAUCGAACCUUCUAGUAGCUGGUUUCCGCCGAAGUUUCCCUCAGGAUAGCAGUGUUGAAUUCUCAGUUUUAUGAGGUAAAGCGAAUGAUUAGGGACCGGGGGCGCUAUCAGCCUUAAUCCAUUCUCAAACCUUAAAUAUGUAAGAAGCCCCUGUUACUUAAUUGAACUGGGCAUUUGAACGUAUCAACACUAGUGGGCCCUUUUUGGUAAGCAGACCUGGCGAUGCGGGCUGCACCGAUCGCGGGGAUAAGGUGCCGCAGUGGACGCUCAUCAGACACCCCAAAAGGUGUUAUCACAUCUUGAC
rnacentral:rRNA from 1 species